rnacentral:rRNA from 1 species
UACGUAGGUGACCAGCGUUGUCCGGAUUUACUGGGCGUAAAGAGCGCGCAGGCGGUCGUUCAAGUCGAGUGUGAAAGCCCCCGGCUCAACUGGGGAGGGUCAUUCGAUACUGAUCGACUGGAAGGCAGGAGAGGGAAGCGGAAUUCCCGGUGUAGUGGUGAAAUGCGUAGAUAUCGGGAAGAACACCAACGGCGAAAGCACUCUGCUGGGCCGAAACUGACACUGAGAGACGAAAGCUAGGGGAGCAAAUGGG